AAGUCGAGCGGUAACAGAUCCAGCUUGCUGGAUGCUGACGAGCGGCGGACGGGUGAGUAAUGCAUAGGAAUCUGCCCGGUAGUGGGGGAUAACCUGGGGAAACCCAGGCUAAUACCGCAUACGUCCUACGGGAGAAAGGGGGCUUCGGCUCCCGCUAUCGGAUGAGCCUAUGUCGGAUUAGCUAGUUGGUGAGGUAACGGCUCACCAAGGCCACGAUCCGUAGCUGGUCUGAGAGGAUGAUCAGCCACAUCGGGACUGAGACACGGCCCGAACUCCUACGGGAGGCAGCAGUGGGGAAUAUUGGACAAUGGGGGGAACCCUGAUCCAGCCAUGCCGCGUGUGUGAAGAAGGCCCUCGGGUUGUAAAGCACUUUCAGCGAGGAAGAACGCCUAGCGGUUAAUACCCGCUAGGAAAGACAUCACUCGCAGAAGAAGCACCGGCUAACUCCGUGCCAGCAGCCGCGGUAAUACGGAGGGUGCAAGCGUUAAUCGGAAUUACUGGGCGUAAAGCGCGCGUAGGUGGCUUGAUAAGCCGGUUGUGAAAGCCCCGGGCUCAACCUGGGAACGGCAUCCGGAACUGUCAAGCUAGAGUGCAGGAGAGGAAGGUAGAAUUCCCGGUGUAGCGGUGAAAUGCGUAGAGAUCGGGAGGAAUACCAGUGGCGAAGGCGGCCUUCUGGACUGACACUGACACUGAGGUGCGAAAGCGUGGGUAGCAAACAGGAUUAGAUACCCUGGUAGUCCACGCCGUAAACGAUGUCGACCAGCCGUUGGGUGCCUAGCGCACUUUGUGGCGAAGUUAACGCGAUAAGUCGACCGCCUGGGGAGUACGGCCGCAAGGUUAAAACUCAAAUGAAUUGACGGGGGCCCGCACAGCGGGUGGAGCAUGUGGUUUAAUUCGAUGCAACGCGAAGAACCUU
rnacentral:rRNA from 2 species